rnacentral:rRNA from 1 species
AUUGAACGCUGGCGGCAGGCCUAACACAUGCAAGUCGAGCGGCUGCGGGAAAGUAGCUUGCUACUUCUGCCGGCGAGCGGCGGACGGGUGAGUAAUGCCUGGGAAAUUGCCCAGUCGAGGGGGAUAACAGUUGGAAACGACUGCUAAUACCGCCUACGCCCUACGGGGGAAAGCAGGGGACCUUCGGGCCUUGCGCGAUUGGAUAUGCCCAGGUGGGAUUAGCUAGUUGGUGAGGUAAUGGCUCACCAAGGCGACGAUCCCUAGCUGGUUGGAGAGGAUGAUCAGCCACACUGGAACUGAGACACGGUCCAGACGCCUACGGGAGGCAGCAGUGGGGAAUAUUGCACAAUGGGGGAAACCCUGAUGCAGCCAUGCCGCGUGUGCGAAGAAGGCCUUCGGGUUGUAAAGCACUUUCAGCGAGGAGGAAAGGUUGAUGCCUAAUACGUAUCAACUGUGACGUUACUCGCAGAAGAAGCACCGGCUAACUCCGUGCCAGCCGCCGCAGUAAGAC